rnacentral:rRNA from 1 species
AGAGUUUGAUUAUGGCUCAGGAUGAACGCUAGCUACAGGCUUAACACAUGCAAGUCGAGGGGUAGCAGGGUAGCAAUACCGCUGACGACCGGCGCACGGGUGAGUAACACGUAUCCAACCUUCCCAUAACUCAGGGAUAGCCUUUCGAAAGAAAGAUUAAUACCUGAUAGUACUUUUUCAAGGCAUCUUGAGAAAGUUAAAGAUUUAUUGGUUAUGGAUGGGGAUGCGUUCCAUUAGAUAGUUGGUGAGGUAACGGCUCACCAAGUCUUCGAUGGAUAGGGGUUCUGAGAGGAAGGUCCCCCACAUUGGUACUGAGACACGGACCAAACUCCUACGGGAGGCAGCAGUGAGGAAUAUUGGUCAAUGGGCGAGAGCCUGAACCAGCCAAGUAGCGUGAAGGAUGAAGGUCCUAUGGAUUGUAAACUUCUUUUAUAGUAGAAUAAAGUGAUCCACGUGUGGAUUUUUGUAUGUAUACUAUGAAUAAGGAUCGGCUAACUCCGUGCCAGCCGCAGC